AGCUGCAGAUUCUCAGCAAAAAUGCUUUUAAUCAUUUCCCCCUUUUAUUGGUUCUUGUUUUGGGGGUGAGGACAAGGGUUGGGGGGAGGGGAUGUUUUUUAACAGGACUUUUUGUUGGAACAAUGUACUACUUGAGUAAUACCAUGUGAACCACCAGUCUAUUCUGGUAUGCUUAGGGAGUACCUCUAAAGACAGAUUAAUCAGAAUGUGCUCUAAAGCUUAUUGUUUGAAUUUAUACAAAUACUGGGACUGUUAACGGGUGGGCAUACAUCAGUGUUUUCAAUGUGCUUAAAUUUGUUUAAAAUUUCCAUAUUCUAGAUCAUUUUUAAUUGAAGAGCACAGUAUGUGUGGAAGACAGUGUGUAACACGUAGUUUGGAAGUGGGACGCUGGAGAGAAUUGAGUGUGUGCUGUCUUGUAUAGUUACUAUCCUGUGCAGCAGCCGGAGAAAGCUCUCACCUCAGGCUUAUAAAAGGGAAUAGUUUCAGGAGCUAUGUAAGCUGGAAAAAAGGUAGGGAGUUUUGGGGUACAGAAGGGUGCUGGAGCUAAUUUUUUCUUCCAAUUUCCCAGCUACCCUGCCCCAGGGAAUUGUGUUUGUCUUCAUUUCAGUGGUGCUUUGGAAACGGAUUCUUUUGGUUCCCUCCUGGAGGUUCAUGCAUUCGUAUAUAUGCUCUGGAAUAAUUUAUGCAUUUGGAUGAUUAAUAUAUUGCUUUCAGAUGCUGGGAGAGUACAUUAACUGAGUGAUGCACAACUUCCUCUCUCUUAGGGAGUUAGACCAUCAGAGGCCUUGAUGGAGACUUGCGUGAGGUGCUAUAUGCAGACUUUCAUGGUCUGUGUGUAGCCAGGAACAUAGCUUGCUUGCAUUUAUUAAGACCAAUCAGCUUAGUGUUUAUUUCUUCUACAGCACAGAUUCACUGGCUGGGGCUCCAGUCUCAAAUUGCCAAUCAUUUGCAAAGUGAGGAAGGAUCUUUGUUGACAGGUUGAAUGCUUUGAAUUUCUGGUGACUACUUUGAAAUAACUUGUUUUGUGUGUCAAAUUCUAAGCAUAUGUCUUAAAAGGCAUUUUUGACUAUCAUCUCCAAGGGAAUAACAUGAGAAACCCAAAGUACUAUGCUGCAGUCGGGGGAGAGGUGGAUUGCAGCAGUAUCCUCAACUACCUCUUCUCACUGUCAGUGACUCCAUCUUGGAAUACCUUUGGGAAGCAGCGGGAAAUGUGCAUGUGGGUAGAGAUCAAAGGAGGCAAUGGUUCCAAGCCUUGCCAUAGGGCUGCCUCCAAGUAUACAGAAGGAUGCCAGUUGCCACAGGUCCCUGCCCUGUGUCACCUGUCUGCCCUUCAUUAAGGUGACAAAUCUGCAGAUAGCAUCAUUAAGAUCAGUUUUAAGGGGUAUAGGGAGGGUAAGGGAAGGUGGGGGGGGUGUUAGGGAAGGGUGGGGGGGUAGAGGUUUUGGGAUGUCUUAGUUAGAAACCAGAUUAAUAGAAGAGUAGGCCUGUUAUAUUACAUCAUGAGCCAUAGUGGUGGGAGAGAACUUUAGCAAUAUAGCCCUACCCCCUCAUUUUAGUGAUGAGGAAUCUGAGAACUGGAGAGGUUCAGUGACUUCUUAAAAGUCACACAACACAGCUAACCAUGAUGCCAAUCACCAUGCUUAUUUUGGGAAACUCUUAUCUUUUUUUAAUUCCAUUUUACGAAAAGACAUCUUCAUGGUCCAGGGAAUAUGUAUCUUGUAAAAUGUCCCUGGCUGGAGUAGCUUGUCCAGUCUUGACAAACUACUGAAUUUCUGUCUUGCCUCUCCUUCAGUGCCUUUUAAAAGGUUUUCCCUUUUCUGAUCUGCAUUACAACAUCGAGUCACAUAAAUGUCCCCCCUAAGAAACCAAUCCCACUUCUUACUAGGAGAUUGGGUAUCUUAGAUAAUCUUUUGGGGUUCCUCUGUGAGUAUAGGAAUGAUAUCUUUCCUAAUUAUCUUCCAAAGGAAUUAUUCUGUGUGUGUGUGUGUGUGUGUGUAGAGACAUAAAGGAAGGGUGAUGUGAUUUUCAGCUAGUCCUUUCACAUUUUCAAUAAUGAGGUAAUCAUGUUACAUACACAUUAGUCCUCAGUUAUAAAGUGAAUCUCAGAUAGAAAUUAAAAAUGCAGUUGUGUUAAGACUCUUUCAUACUACCCUUUAGUCGUAAGGAGAAAAAUAACCUCAAAUAGUAGAAGCAGCAAGUAGCAAACUUCAGGAGAGCUACUUUCUAUCCAAAUAAACAAUUUAAAAACACUUUUCACCUACUCCUUUCAUGGUUAUAACACAUUGGCAGACUUUUUGCUGGCUCUGGGAACCAUGAUUUUAAUCACAUUCUGCAAGGUGACAAAUGUCAUACAUUCCACAUUGUGUGGUAGCCAUCUCUUUAGACUCAUGUGUUUGGGGGAAAGGAAGAAGUUCUUGGUUAAGUACUAUUUUGAACUUUCCAGAACCUAUCUGUCCUCUCAUACCAGAGACAGUUCCUCUCUGCUCAGUUUCCAAUCGCGGAUAAUUUGCUAAAAUAACAUUGUACAUCUAAGAGAGGAAAGAAGAGUAUGUCAGUAUAUUAUGCAGAAGAUAGAUAGAGCCUUUUCAGAAGAUCUCCACUAGUUGUUGAUCCAAAAAUCCAACUUUAUGGGAGAAAUCUCAAUUAGCCACCUUUUCACAGUUGUGUGGAUGUAACAUUUGGGGGCUCUUUCUGGACUCCUACCUAUCUGUGCAUUUUACUGGCACCUCAGGAAAGGAGGGUGACCAGGUUGUCUUAGCCUGUACUGCUUGGUGGUCUCUGAGGACCUUCUAAGUCAGUUGUACCCCAAUGUUCCAUGUAUAGAAAAACUUCAUUAGAACAAACUUUACUUGAUAUGAAACUCCUAUUAACAGUCUUUUUUGAAAUAAAAGUAGCUUGAGCUUUCUUUUAAAAUCAUGUAUCUUGAUUGUUGAUUUAAUGAAGGAUUUCCUUUUAAUGCUGCUUUUGAGCUUCAAGGUAAUAGGACAGCAGGAACCUAAAAUAUCUGCCAUCAUCUGCCAUAGGAAAGAUACCCAGAGACCCGUCAUGUUCUCUUUUUGUUGUUACACUGUUGAGUGGGUAUAACAAUUGGAAGAUGAACAAACUGAUUGAUUGUGCAAACUACUUUUUAUGACAAGCCUAAACCCUGAUAAUGCGGCAGCUUAAAGUGUAUACAUAUGCACUAACUUUGAUCAAUUAUAUUCUCAUAUCUGUUAGCCACACAAUCUCCUAUUAUCUCAAUUGCUUAUGCGCAUAUGGAGUAUGUUACUUAAAACGUGCAUUCUUACUGAAAAUGUUUUCUAAGGAAGAUAUCAGCUGUGGGCUAAUUGCCACCAAUUUCAGCCUGCCACGAUUCUUGGAAAUGUAUCUUCCAAGUGCCAUCCAUCAUCAGUAGGACAAGUGUCGGGAGUUUGUUUAUUUUUUUCCAGUAGCAACGAUGGGUUACAUGGAGCCAUGAAACCUCCUUCUGGCCUCCCUUGUGAUUAAUGGCAUGUGUUUGUAAAAUGGAUAGCUGGGGUUGGCAGAUGGCUAGAGAAGAAUCGCCUUUGGUUUAAAAUGUAUGUGGUCCCCUAAUGAUUGUGACCCCAUUCUGUAAUCAACUGAGCUAGUUCCAAUAAAGUUAAGCAGGUUUAAAUCCACUUUGUGCCUAUCUUUUCACUGACAAUAAAGUUAGCUAUUUUAAAAUGCA